rnacentral:rRNA from 1 species
GUCAGAUUUGUAUCCUGGCGUCAGAUUGAACAACUGGCGGAAUGCUUUACACAUGCAAGUCGAACGGUAGAGGGGGCAACCCCUCGAGAGUGGCGAACGGGUGAGUAAUAUAUCGGAACGUGCCCAGUCGUGGGGGAUAACGUAGCGAAAGUUACGCUAAUACCGCAUACGAUCUAAGGAUGUAAAGCGGGGUAUCGCAAGACCUCGCGCGAUUGGAGCGGCCGAUAUCAGAUUAGGUAGUUGGUGGGGUAAACGGCUCACCAAGCCAACGAUCUGUAGCUGGUCUGAGAGGACGACCAG